GACCGAAAGUUCACUGGUUCAAUUCCCUGUCAGGGCAUAUGCCUAGAUGUGAGCCAGAUCUCUGCUUGGGCUGAAAACAUCUUGAUACCACUGGUCUCCCCAAACCCAAAGGACAGUGUUUCAUGAAAGACACAGGGAAGUCAAGAAGGAUGACAGAAAAGUACUCACAGGUAAGAAUGAUUUUGGUUUCAGUAGUUACAGUAUAUAUGGCAAUCACUCAAAAAACAAAACAAAACUAUGUGCAAGUAUUAUUCUAAAUUCUUAACACAUAUAACCUUAUGUAAUCUCUCACAAUAUUAGGAGGUAGAGGAGAUUGUUGGCAA